UGGCCUAAGAAAAACUCAAUUUUUUCUUGGAAACAAACAACACAUGGCCUCACCCUACUAUAAUAUCAUACGAGAGAUCGAAUUGGGCCUGAUUUCACCCUUGAGGUAUCAUCGCCGAGUCUGGAGUUACUCAUCUCAUCAAAAUCCAAUCACAAAUGAUAGAAAACCUAGCAGACGUGAAACGUUAUUUCAACGGUGAUCCGGGAGAAAAGGUGGUCUUGGCACUGGUCGGUUAUCUCAUGCAUUCUUUAUGGUCGCUUUGGAAUGCCACUCAACAAUUAGAUGAGGUCCCGCUUUCCCCCCAAGCUAAGACUCCUGGUCUUCAAAAGUUCGUUUUUGAGCUUGAUCGAUACUUUAUCGCUCUUCCAUCGUGAUCUCAGUCAUAAUUAUGAUACAUCCCGAGUCGUUAGAGAUGGCAGGCCAUUUUUCGAACCACUCGGAAACGCCAUUUCAGUUCCUGAUGUGGCAACAUUACGUACUGACAAAUCCACACAGUCGCUCACUCGUAUGUUUUCACUUGUGCGAGCACUACAUACUCCCUCCAUCCGGUUUGGGUAACACUAAUCGUCUACUUUGCCUUUGCUAGAGUAUUUGACUUUUUGAGUUUAAGUGUCAAGUUAUAAUCAAAAUGUAAUAU